GUUAACUUUGACCCAAAGACAACCUCUUCUCUUCCGCUUCCCUUGCUGUGAAGAUGGCGCUCUCCAGGGUGUGCUGGGCUCGGUCGGCUGUGUGGGGCUCGGCAGUCACCCCUGGACAUUUUUUCACCCGGAGGCUGCAACUUGGUCGCUCUGGCCUGGCUUGGGGGGCCCCUCGGUCUUCAAAGCUUCACCUUUCUCCAAAAGCAGAUGUGAAGAACUUGAUGUCUUACGUGGUAACCAAGACAAAAGCAAUUAAUGGGAAAUACCAUCGUUUCUUGGGUCGUCAUUUCCCCCGCUUCUAUGUCCUGUACACAAUCUUCAUGAAAGGAUUGCAGAUGUUAUGGGCUGAUGCCAAAAAGGCUAGAAGAAUAAAGACAAAUAUGUGGAAGCACAAUAUAAAGUUUCAUCAACUUCCAUACCGGGAGAUGGAGCAUUUGAGACAGUUCCGCCAAGACGUCACCAAGUGUCUUUUCCUAGGUAUUAUUUCCAUUCCACCUUUUGCCAACUACCUGGUCUUCUUGCUAAUGUACCUGUUUCCCAGGCAACUACUGAUCAGGCAUUUCUGGACCCCAAAACAACAAACUGAUUUCUUAGAUAUCUAUCAUGCUUUCCGGAAGCAAUCCCACCCAGAAAUUAUUAGUUAUUUAGAAAAGGUCAUCCCUCUCGUUUCCGAUGCAGGACUCCGGUGGCAUCUGACAGAUCUGUGCACCAAGAUACAGCGUGGUACCCACCCAGCAAUACAUGAUAUCUUGGCUUUGAGAGAGUGUUUCUCUAACCAUCCUCUGGGCGUGAACCAACUCCAGGCUUUGCACGUGAAAGCCUUGAGCCGGGCCAUGCUUCUCACAUCUUACCUGCCUCCUCCCUUGUUGAGACAUCGUUUGAAGACUCGUACAACUGUGAUUCACCAACUGGACAAGGCUUUGGCAAAGCUGGGGAUUGGCCAGCUGACUGCUCAGGAAGUAAAAUCGACCAUUUCUCUUCUGAGCGGUAUAGGCUUGUUAUCUCCGUGGCCUGAAUUCUACACAUAUUGGUGAAGAUAGGUGUCGAACUUGGCUGGGAGAAUGGCUGCAGAUUUCCUGCAGCCUGAAAGAAACUGAGCUGUCUCUCUUACUGCACAACGUGGUCCUGCUCUCCACCAACUACCUUGGGACAAGGCGCUGAGUGAACCAUGGAGCGGAUGGCGUUGUCCUGCAGUCGCAUAGUACAGCAGUGCAGGAACAAACAGCACUUGCCAGCGAAGUCUGUGUGCACUGUUAAGUGUGUGGGAGGGAGAGAGAGAGAGGAGCAGGGGCCAUGGGCUUCACAGCAUGGCACACGUGGGAACUGCAGACAUUCCCUUCACAGCUAGAACUGAAACAAACCCUCUUGCCAGGGGUGGCCCAUGUGAGGUGUCAUCCCGUCCCCCUCAUAAUUACUAAUAGCUGGAACUGGCAGCAGCCUUUACUGGGCUUUUACUGUGAUGUGUUCAGUUCAUGUCCUGGGAAGUCCGCUUUUGCCCCAAGUGGGAAUCCUUAUUUGGCUAAGGACUGAUCCACUUCCAUGUCACUUACAUCUGUGGGUUUUUGUUGUUGCUGGUAGAGAAUUUGUGGCUGGCGAGAACAGCAUUUCUUUGGCCAGAGCACUCGUGUCCAUGCAUGUACUUCAGUGUUUCCCUCCGUCCUUUCUGAUAUGACCAAAAAUCCAGUUGUUCUUUGUCCCCCUCACUGGCAUGGGCUAACCACUUGUUUUUCAAACCCUUUGAACACCUUGACUUUUUUUUGAUGGGUAACUUGCAGGAAUAUUCUAUUGGAAAAGAUAACAGGAAGUACAAGUGGUUCUUGACCCCUUCCUCAAUGUUUCUAGCCUUCACUCUCCAUUGUCUUUUCCGGGCUGUAUUACACCCCCUGUGGAUCUUCAGCGCUUUGCUGCCUCCACUGUGAUGCAGCAAUCCAACUGUAACUGACAGUGGCUGCCUUCUUUGGGCCAUGGAUCACACCUGUAAGGUACUAAUUAUUGCCCAGCCUGGGGAGAUCAGAAGAGGUCUGCAUCGAGUUAGUAAGUUGAGUUUAGCUUUUGUGUGUCCAUCAGUGACUUAUAGUUCUGUAAUAACGUACUGUAAAUGCAUGAAGCACUGUUUUUAAACCCAAGUAAAGACUGCUUGAAACCUGUUGAUGGAAAUGA